rnacentral:rRNA from 1 species
AUGAAAGGAAAGAUAGUUGAAGCAGAACCAUCUGACCACCAGCAAUCCAAGGACAAGGGAAAGAAAGUGGUGUUUGAGAAAUCCGAGUUUCCGCCACUUGUUUACAAGGGAAAAGAGAGAAUGGUAGAGACACUCAACUCCAAGCUACCUGAGAAAAGAGGCGGCGUUGUGGUCAUAUUGCCGUCAUCGUCAUCUUCAACAGGAAGGCCCACCAACGCUCGGAAUAUACUUCGAGCCGAUGCUCCUGAGUUUGUCCCCUCACUGGCCCAUAAACCUAGUGAGGAACACUUGGGAAUAAUGCAAAAACGUUCUGUGGAAUGGAAGAGAGUGUGCCUUACAUCUGGUGACCUCAAAACAGGCCACAUAAAUCCAACAUCUGCACCAUCAGUUGCUCUGUUUGAAGAAGCACCCAUCCUACGAGAGUCCUUUGAAGGUUCGUUUGAUCCAGUGCGACAUCAACGACGACAGAGAAAUGUCCGUCGAUCUUGGAUUGAUCUUCCAGCUGCCGUAGAUCAAGGGGCGGCGAGCCGACACCGUUCUCAUGUGAGCAAGUCCGUCAAGGGGAGAUGGAAAAACACUCGUCCAAAGAUCCAAGUUCGGAAUCCAGAUGACUCAUAUGUUGUUCUUCCCGGUGCAUCCACAUCACAAAAUGAUGAGGGUGGUGCCAUCAUGCGACUGGCGGAGGCCCUGGCCCAACGGCCUGAGUACCAAGAGUUCAUUCAGCAACAUCCUGAACAUCAAGAGUAUGCGAACCAAGCUGCUCAUGUCCGUUCAAGAAGAGUCAAAGGAGCAGAACGGGCAAGGUCUGGGUCAAGCAGAGUCAAAGGGGCAGAACACGCCCCAUCAGAUGAGGACAGUCAGGCUAAACCCUCUCGUAAGCAAACCAAGAAUAAAUCAUUCGAAGUGUUCCAAGCAAUGCCAGUUGGUGUCAGGGCGGCGUCAGACAAGACCAGCGAAACAUCCUCCACAUCAACACAUUUCAAGAGGAAGAAGGCACGCAAAACUGUCAUAGAAGGUCCUCGUCGUAGUACACGAAGCCAAAAGGGUUCAGAUUAUGAAGAACUUGGGUCUAGCUGUGGUGGGUCUUAUAAUCCCCUAUCGGACAGUACCCCAUGUCCUUCUGAAAAUGAGAUAGAACUCCACCAUGGUGCAGAGCAUACAGAACAAGUCCUAGCCGCGAAUGAAACUCGUUCGGUCGAGGAGCAAUUAGCCAACCUUACGGCAGCGCUUUAGCAAAAGGAAGACGAGCUAGCAGCUCUUCAAAUUCAGAUGAGCAAUAACCAGAACAAAGGAAAUAAAGAGAAUAGUGGACUAAUCAAUCAAACAAAUUUAGAUGCAAGAAUGCAAGGAAACAGAAAGGUAAAUCCUAAUGCGUACGGGGUUAUGGCUGGAGGGCAGAGGGAGGUAAGCGAAGCCUCGUCUCCAUUUCGUCUAGUAGGGCUAAUAGAAUAUUGUGGAUGA